rnacentral:sRNA from 1 species
AAAAUAAACUGAUUGGAAUGAACAUCCCGAUUUUCAUUGGGAUAAUGGAAAGCAGGACUGAUC